rnacentral:rRNA from 1 species
GACGUAGGGGGCCAGCGUUGUUCGGAAUUACUGGGUGUAAAGGGUUGGUAGGUGGUCUCAUUUGUCGGAGGUGAAAGCCUUGGGCUUAACCCAAGAAGUGCCUCCGAAACGGUGAGACUAGAGUUCUGGAGAGGCUAGGGGAAUUCCCGGUGUAGCGGUGAAAUGCGUAGAGAUCGGGAGGAACACCAGAGGCGAAGGCGCCUAGCUGGACAGAUACUGACACUCAACAACGAAAGCGUGGGGAGCAAACAGG